rnacentral:rRNA from 1 species
CGUGAGAUGUUGGGUUAAGUCCCGCAACGAGCGCAACCCCUAUCAACAGUUGCCAUCAUUAAGUUGGGAACUCUGUUGAGACUGCCGUUGAUAAAACGGAGGAAGGUGGGGAUGAUGUCAAGUCAUCAUGGCCUUUAUGUUCAGGGCUACACACGUGCUACAAUGGACGGUACAAAAACGUCGCGAUCCUGCAAGGGGGAGCUAAUCGCAAAAACCGUUCUCAGUUCGGAUUGAAGUCUGCAACUCGACUUCA